GCUCUUUUUAUCGCUUCAACUGUUACUUGGAUAACUGUGGGAAUUCUAAAGAUAAUACAUGCCGAUGAGCGCUAGGGGACGGCCGCUCCGCUUUUGCACCCUGCUCCCUCUUAUGCUGUGCUGGUGCCUCUGUGCGACCAGUGCCUCUUCCUCCAAACUGCACAGGUCACUCGCAUGACCUUGAUUCCAUGUGGGGUCUAGGACCUCAUCAUCCUCCACAUCGUCUUCCACCCACUCCACAACCCUGCCCUCCUUGCCGGUAUGCACACUGCACAAAGCCACAGCAGAUGGC